rnacentral:rRNA from 1 species
AGUCGAACGGAAAGGCCCCUUCGGGGGUACUCGAGUGGCGAACGGGUGAGUAACACGUGGGUGAUCUGCCCUGCACUUUGGGAUAAGCCUGGGAAACUGGGUCUAAUACCGAAUAGGACCGCAUGCUUCAUGGUGUGUGGUGGAAAGCUUUUGCGGUGUGGGAUGGGCCCGCGGCCUAUCAGCUUGUUGGUGGGGUAAUGGCCUACCAAGGCGACGACGGGUAGCCGGCCUGAGAGGGUGUCCGGCCACACUGGGACUGAGAUACGGCCCAGACUCCUACGGGAGGCAGCAGUGGGGAAUAUUGCACAAUGGGCGCAAGCCUGAUGCAGCGACGCCGCGUGGGGGAUGACGGCCUUCGGGUUGUAAACCUCUUUCAGUAUCGGCGAAGCUCCAGGAUUUUUCUUGGGGUGACGGUAGGUACAGAAGAAGCACCGGCCAACUACGUGCCAGCAGCCGCGGUAAUACGUAGGGUGCGAGCGUUGUCCGGAAUUACUGGGCGUAAAGAGCUCGUAGGUGGUUUGUCACGUUGUCCGUGAAAACUCACAGCUUAACUGUGGGCGUGCGGGCGAUACGGGCAGACUAGAGUACUGUAGGGGAGACUGGAAUUCCUGGUGUAGCGGUGGAAUGCGCAGAUAUCAGGAGGAACACCGGUGGCGAAGGCGGGUCUCUGGGCAGUAACUGACGCUGAGGAGCGAAAGCGUGGGGAGCGAACAGGAUUAGAUACCCUGGUAGUCCACGCCGUAAACGGUGGGUACUAGGUGUGGGUUUCCUUCCUUUAGGGAUCCGUGCCGUAGCUAACGCAUUAAGUACCCCGCCUGGGGAGUACGGCCGCAAGGCUAAAACUCAAGGAAAUUGGAC